rnacentral:rRNA from 1 species
GUCGACUGGCUCAGAUUAGAACGCUGAAAGGUGAUGGCUUUUGCCAGGGAUGCAAGUCGAACGGCAGCACGGACUUCGGUCUGGUGGGCGAGUGGCGAACGGGUGAGUAAUAUCUGUGGAACGUGCCUAGUAGCGGGGAUAACUACGCGAAACGUAGGCCAAUUACCGCAUACGCCCUUCGGGGGAAAGCGGGGGGACCUUCGGGCCUCGCACUAUUAGAGCGGCCGAUAUCGGAUUAGCUAGUUGGUGGGGUAACGGCUCACCAAGGCGACGAUCCGUGGCUGGUUUGAGUAGAGGACGACCAGCCACACCAGACCAGACACGGCCCAGACUCCUACGGAGCGCGGCAGUGGGGAAUUUUGGACAAUGGGGAAAACUCCCGGAUCCAGCCAUCCCGCGUGUGCGAUGAAGGCCUCUGCUGUAAAGCACUUUUGGCAGGAAGAAAACGGUACGGGAUAAUACCCUGUGCAACUGACGGUACCUUGCAGAAUAAGCACCGACCAACUACGUGCCAGCAGCCGCGGUAAUACGUAGGGUGCAAGCGUUAAUCGGAAUUACUGGGCGUAAAGCGCGCAGGCGGUUCGAAAGAAGAUGUGAAAUCCCAGAGCUUAAUCCUUUGGAAACUGCAUUUUUGAAUUACCCGAGCUAGAGUGUGUCAGAGGGAGGUGGAAUUCGCGUAGCAGUGAAAUGCGUAGAUAUGGAGGAACACCGAUGGCGAAGGCAGCCUCCUGGGAUAACACUGACGCUCAUGCACGAAAGCGUGGGGAGUAAACAGGAUUAGAUACCCUGGUAGUCCACGCCCUAAACGAUGUCAACUAGCUUUUCGCUAGCCUCGCCUGGUAGCGCAGCUAACGGGUAGCGAAGUUGACCGCCUGGGGAGUACGGUCGCAAGAUUAAAACUCAAAGGAAUUGACGGGACCCCGCACAAGCGGUGGAUGAUGAUUAAUUCGAUGCAACGCGAAAACUACCUACCCUUGACAUGUCUGGAAUCCCUGAAGAGAUUUGGGAGUGCUCGCAAGAGAGUCCGGAACACAGGUGCUACGGCUGUCGUCAGCUCGUGUCGUGAGAUGUUGCUGUCCUGCAACGAGCGCGUGAACCCUGUCAUUAGUUGCUGUCAGAAAGGGCACUCUAAUGAGACCGUCAUGACAAACCGAGGAAGGUGGGGACGACGGUCAAGUCCUCAUAGUCCUUAUGGGUAGGGCUUCACACGUCAUACAAUGGUCGGGACAGAGGGUCGCCAACCCGCGAGGGGGGAGCCAAUCCCAGAAACCCGGAUUCCGUAGUCCGGAUCGCAGUCUGCAACUCGACUGCGUGAAGUCGGAAUCGCUAGUAAUCGCGGAACGUGUGGUCGCGGUAGCUACGUUCCUGGUCUUACACACCGGCCCACACCAUGGGAGUGGGUUUACCAGAAGCAGUUAGCCUAACCGUAAGGAGGGCGAUUACCAUGGUAGGAUUCAUGACUGGGGUGAAGUCGUAACAAGGUAA